GAGUCUGGAAGGACAGUUGCAUUUCUCCCUGCUUAGUACUGAGGAUGGAGUGCAGGGCCUUGGAAUGUGCUAGGCAAAUGCUCAACCACACAGCUGCUCCCCUGCCCCGUUCUACCAUCCAGGCUCGAGACUGGCCGCCGCGUAGGGAGCCCUGUGAGAGGAGGGCAGGGCGGGGGUCACCUGGGGUCUGCCCCGGUCUUCCUCGAAGAUGCCACACCGCCACCGCCUUCCCUUAAGUCCGAGCUAGAGCAGACUUGGUGCCAUUUCAGAAAAAUUUAGACCUUGAAAUUCUCUCGCCUCUCUCCCCAAGCACGGAGCAGGAUGUCAGGACGACGGCUGACAGAGUAGCACACCUGACUUCCCUUGCGGGGGACCCCUCCCUUCCCUGUCACACGUGGGCCAGGCAGCUGUGAGCUGGUGCUGCAGAGCCGGCUUUCAGUCUCUGCUGUCUGGGGAGACCAAGCUUGCGGGUGGUGGCGGUGCGUGCUGGUCCCGUUAGCACACCGCCACGGCCACGUCUGUCUUCCUCCUUAGGGCGGCUUCCAGUCGCCCGCCAGCCGCCCCGCCUCCCGUGGGUGUUCCAUUUCUUUACUGUGCUGCUGUCACGUAGGGUCUUAGAGCACUGCUCCUGCACCUCCUGUCUGCACCGGGCUUCUCGGAGGGCCGGCUCCCAUCAGGGUUCCCCUCUGCUCUGUGGAGAGGCUGUAGCAGGGGCUGCAAAGAGGCUGCAGACGGCGCUUCCAAAGUUAUUACCUCUCGGUGCCUUUGGUCAGAAGUUCCCGGAGUAGGAGUUGGCCCUGCUCCCUGUCUGUUUUUCUUCCCUUGGAGAGAGUGCUUUCUGUUGCACCACAUGUGCAGCCCCAUGACCUCGGCCUCAGGAUGUGGUGGUCAGGUACGCGUGACCUCGGCCUCAGGGUGUGAGAAGCAGGACACCCUCUCUUACUCCAAAGGCCACCAGGAUGGCCCCUGCUACCACACAGAGCAGUGGUCUCUCCAAGCGUGAGGGUCCUUUGAGGUGGCGAGAUAUUUCUAGAAGGCUCAGUUACAGCCAUGGAAGGGCCUCACAGAGGGCGCUGGUCGUGUGCUGCAGACAGGCUGGGUCCCUGGGGAGGCAGGCGCAGGCAUCCCCUGGCGGGAGGACUUCGGCUGAGUGGGAGCUGCAGCACCGCGAACCUCGGCGAGGGCAGGCUUGCUUCCGCUUCCAGAGGAUUUCCGUGCUCCUUGUCAGCUCGGCCACCCUCGGAAAAGCACUCAUACUUGCAUGCAUCUGUGUGAAACGUGUUGCCACAGUGAGCCUUUGACCGGUGACCCAUCCUUCCCAAGUCUGGAGAGGAGUGGGGGAACCGGUAAUUUUCCAGUAAUUUUCAAGACAUUUGAGAAACGAGUUUAUCUGACAUGUGUCUGUGACAUCUGAAGUGUCACAGUUUCUGGAAGCUGUGUGUCGUGUAGAAGGCUGAGCAGCGGCUGGAGGCUGGUCCAAGAGAGCGGGUGGCGAGCCCCUCGGGGCCUCUGAGGACUGCACUGUGACGCUCAUGGGCUCCGUCAUGCUGCUAGCCCAGGCCCCUUGGGCCCCGCUGUCCCGAAGAGCCUGCAGUUGUCAACUUGUGCGUGACACAUGGCACCAGGUAUUCCUGAAGGAAAGGCCUGGGCGUGUGUGGACUCUUCACAUCAAAGGAGGGCUGAUUUAAUCUCCAGCUUCGCAGCUUAGCUACAGGAUUUCCAAGGCGAGAAUUCAACAAGUUGGAGUGGAUGGCCGUGCCAUGACAUCAGAAAACUAUUGACCAGAGAGUGGUCUUUGGCUGGACAAGUAAAAUUGAUCAGACCCACGAAGAGAAAAAGAUUCUGAGAGAUUCCUUCGUGGCUCUGGGAUUUGAGUUUGCUCUUCUGUCCUGUUUGCCUGCCUGUCUGUCCAUCUGUCCAUCCAUCCAUCCAUCCCUCUAUCCCUCUGUCUGUCUGUCUCUUCUCCCCACUGUGCCCUCCCCCAUGCAUUACGUGUUAGUGGAGGACAUUCUCCUUGUUAGU